rnacentral:rRNA from 1 species
GAUGAACGCUGGCGGCGUGCUUAACACAUGCAAGUCGAACGAAGCGCUUAAAUGGAUUUCUUCGGAUUGAAGUUUUUGUGACUGAGCGGCGGACGGGUGAGUAACGCGUGGGUAACCUGCCUCAUACAGGGGGAUAACAGUUGGAAACGGCUGCUAAUACCGCAUAAGCGCACAGUACCGCAUGGUACGUUGUGAAAAACUCCGGUGGUAUGAGAUGGACCCGCGUCUGACUAGGUAGUUGGUGGGGUAACGGCCCACCAAGGCGACGAUCAGUAGCCGGACUGAGAGGUUGAACGGCCACAUUGGGACUGAGACACGGCCCAG